rnacentral:rRNA from 1 species
GGUUAAGCGAACAAGCGUACACGGUGGAUGCCCUGGCAGUCAGAGGCGAUGAAGGACGUGCUAAUCUGCGAAAAGCGCCGGUAAGGUGAUAUGAACCGUUAUAACCGGCGAUGUCCGAAUGGGGAAACCCGGUGCACUUCGGUGCAUCAUCGUUAGCUGAAUACAUAGGCUAACGAGGCGAACCGGGGGAACUGAAACAUCUAAGUACCCCGAGGAAAAGAAAUCAACCGAGAUUCCCCCAGUAGCGGCGAGCGAACGGGGAACAGCCCAGAGCCUGAAUCAGCUUGUGUGUCAGUGGAACGGUCUGGAAAGGCCGGCGAUACAGGGUGACAGCCCCGUACACGAAGGCACACAGGCUGUGAGCUCGAUGAGUAGGGCGGGACACGUGAUAUCCUGUCUGAAGAUGGGGGG